GCUUUUUGUGCCUCACCAUUAACCGGAAUAAAUAUAGUGACCAUGAAAUAUCGAGAAGCCCAUGCCCCGAGGCCUAGAUCAAACAGGACAUCUAUAUCAUCAUUUGUCCUGUAACCCAAGAAAGUGUGCAAAGACUUUAUCGGGGUUAUUUUUUAUAAUGUCACGCUUUAGUGGCUGUUUGUUAAACAUUGCGAGGACUUUCUGGCACGAUGAAGAACCAUUAGAAAGAUAGAGGGUUCUAUAUCCUUGCAAGUACUUUCCUAAAAAGAGGAACCGGAGAUAAAGAUGUUCGAUUACUUCCCCAGUGUUCUCUCGUAGAGCGGCUGUUUCUUUGCAGAGGUGUACGUUCAUGAAAAUUCAGUAUCUUAAAGCCAUCCUCAAAUGAUCGCGAAACAGAUUUAAAAAGAAGAAAAAGAGAGACCAAAUGAAUGCUUAAAAUCAGACACACGCGGUGAAAAGUCGAAAAUCCGAACACGAAUACGACUUUACAGAUAUCCCAACUUUACCACAAAGCACUAAACAAGGUUUAUCGAAAAGUUGUUUGACGUCCCUCGCUUCUCGUCGGAUGUGCACAAUUUCUUACUCAGUCGACGGAGAAUAGAAGCAGUAUACGGAGUUCUACAGCUUAUUAAACCCCAGCCUUUUUCAAUCAGGCCGUAUCAAGAAGCACCUUGGCUUCUCAGUCUGCAAACUGUGGUUAACACCUAGUGUAUCAAUGAAGACUACCUUAUAUUCCAAUAAAAUGGCCAAACCUCGUGAGAUACAUUUAAGAUUACAAAAGAAAUUAAAGAGAUCAUAAUUCGCGAGCGAAUGCAACAUGUCUCCGACACGCAAUCCCAACAUGGUAAAUUUUGACACCAGAAAAAUCGUGAAAAACGCAGAAAAAUCGAAAACUGUCUAUAUCGCUGCUUGUGACCUGCAAGAAGGUUUCUUUGUAUCAAAUCCAAUGUAAGUUGAUUGACAUACACAUGUAAGUUGGUUGGCAUACACAUGUAAGUUGAUUGACAUACACAUGUAAUGGUUGACAUAAACACCAAUAAUUCACAUGUAAGUUGGUUGACAUACACAUCAAUAAUUCACAUGUACGUUGGUUGACAUACAUGUAAUGGUUGACAUACACAUCAAUAAUUCACAGGUAAGUUGGUUGACAUACACAUCAAUAGUUCACGAAAACCCAGAUUGUGCUUUCCACGCUGAAAAAUUUCAGAACUGUCUAUAUUUCUAUUUGGGACCUUAAAGAGUAUCAUUGUAUUAACUUCCACGUAAAUUGGUCGAAGUUGAGCAAAUCAAUAUUUUUGAAUGUCAAUCUGUUGGGGACUGAAAAUUUAUAUUUUUGCCAAUUUUCAUCUCGAUUGGUUUAAAUAUGACCACACAGGAGCCCAUUAUAUAUAUUAUUUGGGUUGUUUGACUUUUCAUCCCAUAAAAUCCUUAAAUAGGGCUAAAUCAAAAAAAGAAAAACGUUUAAUAGAUGUAUUGGAUCAAGUUAUAAUCCUAUCAAAUUUCAAGUCAAUCCGCCGAGAAAUGAAAGAAUGACGGUUGAUUGAAAAGUGUUUGAAAUAACAAGAAAGAAAGAUAAAAAACAAUAUAAAAACAGUCGAAGCCGGUUAAAUCGGACAGAUUACAACCAGACAGUACUGAAACACAGGGAAAUUAAACGGAACAAUUUAGCACGUUGUUUCAUGGCUCAGGACAAUGCAUCUAUUAAAUAAAGAAUUAUAUAUCAUUAUUACAUCACGAUACAUUAAAGAACAUGAAGAAAUUAAACUGUUCGUUAGACAAAGAAAGUCAAAAAGAAAAGCAUUAACAAAAAAUGUAUUUGUAAAAUAAGUACAGAUCUCAAUUACACGACUAACUUUUCCAUUCAGGAUUCUCCAUACAGAAGAGCAGAAUAUGUACAACAAAAUGUAUGUUAUUAGAUGUGGUUUAUAUUAUUACAGGUGUUUGACAGCCAAUAUCUUCUAGUGUAAAAGUAUGUUAUUUAAAGUGGACAUCUUCUGGUGUUAAAACAUGUUAUUAGACAUAUUGUACAGUCAAUAUUUUCUGGUAUAAAAGUAUGUUAUUAGAGGUGGUUUACAGUCGAUAUCUUUUAGUGUAAAAGUAUGUUAUUACAUGUGGUUCCAGUCGAUAUCUUUUAGUGUAAAAAGUGUGUUAUUAAACGUACUAUACAGUUGAUAUCGUCUGGUUUAAAAGUAUGUUAUUAGAGGUGGUUUACAGUCGAUAUGAUGUGGUGUAAAUUAUGUUAUUAGACGUGUUUGUUUGUUUUGAAUUUCG